rnacentral:rRNA from 1 species
UACGUAGGGGGCGAGCGUUGUCCGGAUUUAUUGGGCGUAAAGAGCUCGUAGGCGGUUUGGCAAGUCGGGUGUGAAAACUCCGGGCUCAACUCGGAGACGCCACUCGAUACUGCCAUGACUCGAGUCCGGUAGGGGAGUGCGGAAUUCCUGGUGUAGCGGUGAAAUGCGCAGAUAUCAGGAGGAACACCGGUGGCGAAGGCGGCACUCUGGGCCGGUACUGACGCUGGGAGCGAAAGCGUGGGGAGCGAACAGG